GUGUCAGCAGCCGCGGUAAGACGGAGGGGGCAAGCGUUGUUCGGAAUUACUGGGCGUAAAGCGCGCGUAGGCGGACCAAUCAGUUGGGGGUGAAAGCCCGAGGCUCAACCUCGGAACUGCCUCCAAUACUGUUGGUCUUGAGAAUGAGAGAGGAGAGUGGAAUUCCCAGUGUAGAGGUGAAAUUCGUAGAUAUUGGGAAGAACACCAGAGGCGAAGGCGGCUCUCUGGCUCAUUUCUGACGCUGAGGUGCGAAAGCGUGGGGAGCGAACAGGAUUAGAUACCCUGGUAGUCCACGCCGUAAACGAUGAGUGCUAGCUGUCGGGCAGUAUACUGUUCGGUGGCGCAGCUAACGCAUUAAGCACUCCGCCUGGGGAGUACGGUCGCAAGAUUAAAACUCAAAUGAAUUGACGGGG
rnacentral:rRNA from 1 species